AGAGUUUGAUCCUGGCUCAGAUUGAACGCUGGCGGCAGGCCUAACACAUGCAAGUCGAACGGUAACAGGAAGAAGCUUGCUUCUUUGCUGACGAGUGGCGGACGGGUGAGUAAUGUCUGGGAAACUGCCUGAUGGAGGGGGAUAACUACUGGAAACGGUAGCUAAUACCGCAUAACGUCGCAAGACCAAAGAGGGGGACCUUCGGGCCUCUUGCCAUCGGAUGUGCCCAGAUGGGAUUAGCUAGUAGGUGGGGUAACGGCUCACCUAGGCGACGAUCCCUAGCUGGUCUGAGAGGAUGACCAGCCACACUGGAACUGAGACACGGUCCAGACUCCUACGGGAGGCAGCAGUGGGGAAUAUUGCACAAUGGGCGCAAGCCUGAUGCAGCCAUGCCGCGUGUAUGAAGAAGGCCUUCGGGUUGUAAAGUACUUUCAGCGGGGAGGAAGGGAGUAAAAGUUAAUACCUUUUGCUCA
rnacentral:rRNA from 1 species